GCUCACGCUAAGAUCAAGGCAAGGGAGAAGAGGCAGGAGGAAGAAAUGAAAAUCAUCAGAGAAAAAUUUAAUCCCCUCCCUCAGGCUCUACAAAAGCAAGUGCAAGUGUUGACAUCUCACCGGGCAGCCAGCAAAGACUUCCGGCAAAUGAGUGGCACUGAAGAGCCCCGAGGCUGGCGUGAGGCACAGGAAGUGUCCCCACCAAAGAUCUACAAGGGCU